UAUUAAAGGUUCCUGCUUCAGGCUCCUGGAGCGAAACUCUGGCAAACUGCCAGCCCCUCUGACAGAGCCCCAGAAACUCUCCAAGAAACUAUACAAAGAAUAAGAAAGAAACUGAAUACAGAUGGAAUGGGAAAUCAGAUAUUCUGAAUCUAUGGGAAGUUCUUUGAGCCAGACCAAGGUUAACCGAAGCUCUUCAACAAUGCAAAACAUGGAUUCCUUAAUACAGCUUCAUGGGAAGCUUACAGAAGAGAACCAAUCUCACAUGAGUUUAUGGUUUCAACACUAAUGUUGCACAUGCAAGUAAAUAUGCAGAAAUUUAUGCUAAUUUCUGGUUGAGACAACGAUUUUUACAACCCACUCAGAACCACAUUCAUUCAGCAAAAACUAUCUAUGUGACUUAGUUGUUCCCUCCAAAAAUAACAGCCCCAGAAUCAACUGGGCCGUAAUUGCAACAGAGGGCAAGGCACAUGGUGAGCUCCGGAGCAGUGAGCAUGCGUGCCCUGGGCUGGCCAUGCGGCACAGCCACACUCAGCCUGAUCACUUGAUGUGCAUGAGUGUUAGGGGUGGAGCACGCUAUCUAUAUAUUACACAGCACACGGUUGCUCCAGCCUUUUUCAAAGCCUGGAGCAAACUGACCCGCCCUC